AGAAAAUUCCCCUCAGACUGACCAAUCACUGCUCACUGACAUCAUCUGGAUCCAACAUGGCGACGUCUGUAUCAGAAGAAAAAGUGAAAACUGAGAUGAUUUACUUUGUUGGAGCUGUUAGAAAUGUUUGUUCCGGGCCCAUGCUGAAGAUGGAUCUCCGCUGGGCAUUUGGUUUAAUCCAGACCAAAUGCUAAGAGGACUGUUUUGUAGCUGGCCAUCUGCCUGGGCUGCUGGUCAAUCACAGCAAGCUGUGCAGAGCAGCGCUGUGCUGGGCCACUUUGCCAAAGUCUGAGCUGCCUGGAGACCACUUCAUUACUAAACAACACUCGGUGGCCAGUUGUCCACACACCAGACUGCACAAAAGCUAAUGGGGACAAGAACUGAUCUUUUCACGAUUUGAGUAGCAGCUUGUCCAUAUUUUACUUCCAAGCCGUCACAAUCCAGAACAGGUGAUGACUUCAAAGUUCAAUACUGGACUGAAGUUUGCUCCCCCAAAAAGCUCCCCUUAUAGGGUUAUACAGAAAAAGCAAUGAAAGCACCACAUACCACUAAAGCCGUAAGAAUAAAUAAGAAUUACUAUGUCACACCUUCACUUGACAUUGAUGGUUGAGACAUCACUAGGACAAAAAUACCAUCAAGUAUUCUGGAAUGUGUUUAUAUUUGUUUUGGUGGAACAUGAGUUACCCUUUUAGUGCUUGUCAAUAAAGGUUCUCAAAUGUUAUGAGUAAACGUAUGCCAUUAUAAUGUCAACUGGAUUUUUUAUAGAGUUAAAACAAGUUGUUCUCAUUUGAGAAACUUGCUGUCUUUGAACAAACGUCAGGUUUGUGAGACUGAGAAUAUAGACUGCUUUUACUAGUCUAAGUCUGAUGGUUUAUUUUCACAUUUCAAAAUAGUUUUAAAUUUGUGCUGUUGCAUAAAUACAUACAAAAUACAUGCACAGACGGACAACACACAAGUCAAACUGAGAGGGGACAGAGCAUACAAUCCAAGCUAAUAAUAUUUCUGUUUUCACAUUUUUGACCAGUAUCUUUAACAUCAUCAUUGUCUGCAUAACCAAACCAAAGACUCCAGAAAUGAUGUGGGACUCACACCAGUAAAAUUAAAUGUCACCAAGUAUUUCAUAUAUCAGACUAGAACUGUGGAAAAAAAAAAAAAAAAAAAGCCUGGAACAAGAUUCACAAGAUUUUCACUGCUUCAACAUUUUGCUCUAAGCCUCCUCUGGUGUGAACACCAGAUGCUAAACUUACUUUAAGG
rnacentral:lncRNA from 1 species